rnacentral:rRNA from 1 species
GAUGAACGCUAGCGGCAGGCUUAACACAUGCAAGUCGAGGGGUAGAGGAAGCUUGCUUCCUUGAGACCGGCGCACGGGUGCGUAACGCGUAUACAAUCUACCUUUUACAGAGGGAUAGCCCAGAGAAAUUUGGAUUAAUACCUCGUAGUAUUUUCGAAUCGCAUGGUUUGAUUAUUAAAGUUCCAACGGUAAAAGAUGAGUAUGCGUCCCAUUAGCUAGAUGGUAAGGUAACGGCUUACCAUGGCAAUGAUGGGUAGGGGUCCUGAGAGGGAGAUCCCCCACACUGGUACUGAGACACGGACCAGACUCCUACGGGAGGCAGCAGUGAGGAAUAUUGGACAAUGGGCGCAAGCCUGAUCCAGCCAUGCCGUGUGCAGGAAUAAGGUCCUAUGGAUUGUAAACUGCUUUUAUACAGGAAGAAACACACCCUCGUGAGGGUACUUGACGGUACUGUAUGAAUAAGGACCGGCUAACUCCGUGCCAGCAGCCGC